ensembl:lncRNA
AGAGGGACUGCCUGUUCCCCUGCCCUGUUUGCCUGAUGGUGUGAUGUUUAGCUGUGAUCCCUAAUGGAGCAGACCUCCGCCGGGAAGCGGAAGUCCUGCCAACCGUGCAACAGCCCUGUUCAGUAUGGCUCCUCUGAUGGUAGGAGAAGAUCCGCCUUUCCCCUCCCACUGGCUCGUCACAAUGAAUUUAACGGUAGAAAAUAGAGAUGGUUAAUAUGAACGUCUCCCCCUCCCAAAGUCACGAGGGCGCAUGCUUUCCAUCACAACCAGCGAGCCCAAGAGGAAGGAUCAGUAGAUACUCCGCGCACCCCCAGCGCAGAAUAAAGACUCAAGCUGACCACGCAUCAUCCUAUGUGUUUGUGUGUGUUAAUGCAUCCUUGUUGGCUGAUUAAAGAGCAGCUCAUUAAAAAAGAGGAGACAUGGCUCUAGUGAGGGUGGUGUAUUCCCCAAGUCGAGGAACUAAGGGAGUGGAUGGGCGGGUUGUUGGACCCAGCUCAGUCAUGUGGCUUGACGUCAGCUUCCAUACACAACUGCCCUUCUGCAGGAAUACCGGCCCGAAAAACUGGCUGGAUGGUGGGGGGUGAUGAAGUGGUGCAGGUGAACUUGUGGCAGCAGUGAUCUGCUAAGAAGCCAAGAGCAUUUUAUUUUCCUUCGGUAGUCCUGGAAGCUUAAACCUGAAUCAGCUUCCUUCAGACCACCGAGUGUGUGUAUGUCUUUGCAGGUGUGUGUGUGUGUGUGGAUGUUUGUUUCAAACUCUACAUCGUAAUAUUUAUAGUGGUGUACAGUCCAUAGCAUACAGAGUGUACUUCGUAUAGGACUCAAGUAUAUUUUGGCCAUAAAAAUUCUUAAAAUAUCUGUCCCAACAUGGCUGUAUGCUUUGGGCUUAACAAAUCCAAACUAAAUUCUUUACAAAGUUUACACAGCUGCCGUACCCCUAGUUUGGAACGGGAAUGCUAUGGUAGAUUGGGAGGGAGGAAAAACAGAUGAGAGCUGUUUAUCUGUUUCUUAUUAAAAGCAGCAGCACACUCGACACACAACCUGUAUAGAAACAGUUAACACAGUAGAGUCAGUAAACUGAGUAAACACAGCUUCAUGUCCACACUGGAGCCCGACCCUUAGAACGGCGGGACCGAUGGUGAGCGUGUUAUGAAGAGGAGUUAUGAUGAUGAGAG